rnacentral:lncRNA from 1 species
AAUACCAUAAAAAACCUAAAAUCGGUGUUAAAAACUCUUUCUGGCCAAUUUCGAAAUUCUGGCACGGCGGCACCGCCGCUUACAGCGGCAGUUUACCUUGGGUUGGUCGUUUUUUACCAGUUUUGAUCGGUUUUGUACUCAUCCAUGCGAAAAAACACACUAAGGGACCUCGGUUGAUAGAAAAAAGUUGAAAAACAGAAGCUUACCAGCAGCGGGCUUUUUUGGUGCGGCAGUUCUGCCGGCUCACCUUUGCGGUUGAGUAUUUUUCUUCAGUCAACCUGUGAGAAACA